rnacentral:tRNA from 1 species
UCCUCGGUGGCUCAGAAUGGAUAGAGCGUCUGCCUUGUAAGCAGGGGAUCCCGGGUUCGAGUCCCGGUCGGGGCA